AGAGUUUGAUCCUGGCUCAGGACGAACGCUGGCGGCGUGCCUAACACAUGCAAGUCGAGCGGAGAUACAUUGAAGAGCAAUCAGAUAUGUAUCUUAGCGGCGGACGGGUGAGUAACGCGUGGGCAACCUGCCUCAUACUGGGGGAUAACAGUGGGAAACUACUGCUAAUACCGCAUGAAAUCAUAGGAGGACAUCCUCUAAUGAUCAGAGGAGCAAUCCGGUGUGAGAUGGGCCCGCGUCCAAUUAGCUAGUUGGUGGGGUAACGGCCCACCAAGGCGACGAUUGGUAGCCGAACUGAGAGGUUGAUCGGCCACAUUGGGACUGAGACACGGCCCAGACUCCUACGGGAGGCGGCAGUGGGGAAUAUUGCGCAAUGGGGGAAACCCUGACGCAGCAACGCCGCGUGAAGGAUGAAGGUUUUCGGAUUGUAAACUUCUUUGAUGAGGGACGAACACAAUGACGGUACCUCAAAAACAAGCCACGGCUAACUACGUGCCAGCAGCCGCGGUAAUACGUAGGUGGCGAGCGUUGUCCGGAAUUACUGGGUGUAAAGGGCGUGUAGGCGGGAAAGCAAGUCAGAUGUGAAAUACCGGGGCUUAACUCCGGGGCUGCAUCUGAAACUGUUUUUCUUGAGUGUCGGAGAGGAAAGCGGAAUUCCUAGUGUAGCGGUGAAAUGCGUAGAUAUUAGGAGGAACACCAGUGGCGAAGGCGGCUUUCUGGACGACAACUGACGCUGAGGCGCGAAAGCGUGGGGAGCAAACAGGAUUAGAUACCCUGGUAGUCCACGCCGUAAACGAUGGAUACUAGGUGUAGGAGGUAUCGACCCCUUCUGUGCCGGAGUUAACACAAUAAGUAUCCCACCUGGGGAGUACGGCCGCAAGGUUGAAACUCAAAUGAAUUGACGG
rnacentral:rRNA from 1 species